AUUGAACGCUGGCGGCAGGCCUAACACAUGCAAGUCGAGCGAGCGGCGGACGGGUGAGUAAUGUAUGGGGACUGCCCGAUAGAGGGGGAUAACUACUGGAAACGGUGGCUAAUACCGCAUACUAUCGGAUAACCCAUAUGGUAUUGGCUAGUAGGUGGGGUAAAGGCUCACCUAGUCGACGAUCGCUAUCUGGGCUGAGAGGAUAAUCAGCCAAACUGGGAACGAGACACGGCCCAGCCUCCUACGGAGGAAGAAGUGGGGAAUAGUGCACAAUGGGCGCAAGCCUGGUGCAGCCAUGCCGCGCGUAUGAAGAAGGCCUUAGGGUUGUAAAGUACUGUCAGCGGGGAGGCGUUACCCGCAGAAGAAGCACCGGCUAACUCCGUGCCAGCCGCCGCGGUAAUAC
rnacentral:rRNA from 1 species